GUUGACCUCGGAUCAGGUAGGGAUACCCGCUGAACUUAAGCAUAUCAAUAAGCGGAGGAAAAGAAACCAACAGGGAUUACCUCAGUAACGGCGAGUGAAGCGGUAACAGCUCAAAUUUGAAAGCUAGCUCUUUGAGGGUUCGCAUUGUAAUUUGUAGAAGAUGCUUCGGGUGUGGCCCCGGUCUAAGUUCCUUGGAACAGGACGUCAUAGAGGGUGAGAAUCCCGUAUGUGACUGGGUGCUUUCGCUCAUGUGAAGCUCUUUCGACGAGUCGAGUUGUUUGGGAAUGCAGCUCUAAAUGGGUGGUACAUUUCAUCUAAAGCUAAAUAUUGGCCAGAGACCGAUAGCGCACAAGUAGAGUGAUCGAAAGAUGAAAAGCACUUUGGAAAGAGAGUUAAACAGUACGUGAAAUUGUUGAAAGGGAAGCGCUUGCAACCAGACUUGCGCGCUGAUGAUCAUCCGGGCUUCUGCCCGGUGCACUCGUCUGCGCUCAGGCCAGCAUCGGUUUCGGUGGUGGGAUAAAGGCCUUGGGAAUGUAGCUCCUCUCGGGGAGUGUUAUAGCCCUCGGUGCAAUGCCGCCUACCGGGACCGAGGACCGCGCUUCGGCUAGGAUGCUGGCGUAAUGGUUGUAAGCGACCCGUCUUGAAACACGGACCAAGGAGUCUAACAUCUAUGCGAGUGUUUGGGUGUCAAACCCAUACGCGUAAUGAAAGUGAACGGAGGUGAGAACCCUUAAGGGUGCAUCAUCGACCGGUCCUGAUGUCUUCGGAUGGAUCUGAGUAAGAGCAUAGCUGUUGGGACCCGAAAGAUGGUGAACUAUGCGUGAAUAGGGUGAAGCCAGAGGAAACUCUGGUGGAGGCUCGCAGCGGUUCUGACGUGCAAAUCGAUCGUCAAAUUUGCGUAUAGGGGCGAAAGACUAAUCGAACCAUUGUCGGCAGGCACAAAAAAUUCUUGUAAAAGUAGGCUAAAAAGCAACGCUAUUUGCUAUGCUUGCUGGCCGGAUCUUGCGAGGUCUAAAAAACAAGAAAUGAUUUUUGCUGCUAGGUGGUUAAGAGGUAUAUUAAAAGUAUACUUAGUCCGUAGAGGGCAACACUAUCAAAUUGCGGGGACGUCCUGUUUUAAAUACUGAACUACCGCAGCUGCCUCGAAAGAGGUAGUGCGCACCAGGUUAAUGACCUUGGGGAUGGUAAAAACGUUUAGAUAGGGAUAAUCCGCAGCCAAGUCCUAUAGGGUCUUAAGACCUACGGAUGCAGUUCACAGACUAAAUGAUAGUGGGUUAGAUACUCUAGCUUAAGAUAUAGUCGAAUCCCUCGAGAGAUCAAGGGCGGAGUUAAUACUUCCGUUUCUAUUGACUUUUCGUUACUGUAGGCUUGUGGGUGUCGGGUCAUGUUGGGCCGCGAGACAAGUUAUAGUGGGCGUGGGUCGAAGAAUCGAGAGUAUCGCUCUAUAAUGCUAGUAGCUGGUUCCUGCCGAAGUUUCCCUCAGGAUAGCAGUGUUGAAUUCAGUUUUAUGAGGUAAAGCGAAUGAUUAGAGGCCUUGGGGUUGCAACAACCUUAACCUAUUCUCAAACUUUAAAUAUGUAAGAAGUCCUUGUUACUUAAUUGAACGUGGACAUUCGAAUGUACCAACACUAGUGGGCCAUUUUUGGUAAGCAGAACUGGCGAUGCGGGAUGAACCGAACGUGAAGUUAAGGUGCCGGAAUCUACGCUCAUCAGACACCACAAAAGGUGUUAGUUCAUCUAGACAGCAGGACGGUGGCCAUGGAAGUCGGAAUCCGCUAAGGAAUGUGUAACAACUCACCUGCCGAAUGAACUAGCCCUGAAAAUGGAUGGCGCUUAAGCGUAGUACCCAUACUUCACCGCCAGGGUAGAAACGAUGCCCUGGCGAGUAGGCAGGCGUGGGGGUCAGUGACGAAGCCUUGGGAGUGAUCCCGGGUAGAACGGCCUCUAGUGCAGAUCUUGGUGGUAGUA
rnacentral:rRNA from 1 species